AGGACGAACGCUGGCGGCGUGCUUAACACAUGCAAGUCGAGCGGAAAGGCCCUUCGGGGUACUCGAGCGGCGAACGGGUGAGUAACACGUGAGUAAUCUGCCCCUAGCUCUGGGAUAGCUCCGGGAAACCGGGAUUAAUACCGGAUACGACCACCUUAGACAUCUUUUGUGGUGGAAAGAAUUUCGGCUAGGGAUGAGCUCGCGGCCUAUCAGCUUGUUGGUGGGGUAAUGGCCUACCAAGGCGACGACGGGUAGCCGGCCUGAGAGGGCGACCGGCCACACUGGGACUGAGACACGGCCCAGACUCCUACGGGAGGCAGCAGUGGGAAUAUUGCGCAAUGGGCGAAAGCCUGACGCAGCGACGCCGCGUGGGGGAUGAAGGCCUUCGGGUUGUAAACCCCUUUCAGCAGGGACGAAGCGAAAGUGACGGUACCUGCAGAAGAAGCGCCGGCUAACUACGCGCCAGCAGCCGC
rnacentral:rRNA from 1 species